rnacentral:rRNA from 1 species
UACGUAGGGUGCAAGCGUUAAUCGGAAUUACUGGGCGUAAAGCGUGCGCAGGCGGUUUUGUAAGCCAGAUGUGAAAGCCCCGGGCUCAACUUGGGAACUGCAUUUGAUACUGUCAGACUAGAGUACAGAAGAGGUGACUGGAAUUCCCAGUGUAGCGGUGAAAUGCGUAGAUAUUGGGAGGAACACCAGAUGCGAAGGCGGGUCACUGGGCUGAUACUGACGCUGAAGCGCGAAAGCCAGGGGAGCGAACGGG